GAAAAUAUYAGACCUCGAAAAAAUCCUUUUCUUGUGUUGUGGAUGCUCAGACUGAAGCUAGGAUUUGUGAAUGAAACUGCUGUACAGUGGGACUUGCCUACUUCUCCUUUGAUUGCAUCUCUUAUCUUCCUCAAGUUACUUUGACCCCAAAGAUGAGGACUUCCCUCCUUCAGUUGAAAUGAACCCAAGAAGUAAUGUGAGAAGCCAUGUGCAACACUGUCACA